rnacentral:lncRNA from 1 species
GGGAGGGACGGGGCCCGCGGCCGGGCCGUGGCAUCGCCCCGGCGAAUCGUCAAAAGGCGAGCCCGGCCGAGACACAAAGGAGGCAGAAAAAGGGUUUUUCAGCGGCGGUGGCAAAAAGGAGCGAGGAGGUCCAGCUGCGCAGCCGGGAGGGAGCGGUGAGGGUGAGCCAGACGCCGCCUCAAGCCUCCAUUUGUUGCGAGGAAAUGCUGUGUGGCUGCGGGGCAAAGCGGCAUGGCCGAAGGUUUUUGACUUUUUCAUACCCUGACUAGACUUGAAAGAAGAGUUCAGUCUCAGAACAGCUGUCAUGGUGACACACUGCCCCUUCUGUUCUGCCAGCACAGCUGCCUGUGACAUUCAUGCCAUGAGCUAGACCAAGGAACUGAUUUUAGUGGUAAUAGAAGGGAAAAAAAAAAAAAAAGUCAUUCUGUGGACGUUGAGUCAGGAAACUUCAGAAAACUCCGGAGAGCUCAGUUGAAUGAAACUGUGUACAUUAAAAUAAGGCCAUACAAAGAACCAACAGUUUGUUCAGGAAUGGAAAACCCCAGUCUAUCAUUCUGGAAUGUAUCCAAAAGCACAUCUUAACCUUAAGUAUAUUUGCAUUUGAAUUAUUGUAACAACUUGCAAGAUCAGAGCAUCUGUGUGUUAAGCUGUGUAUAGGCACAAACUGUAAGAGAAAGACCAAGUUCUAUAGGUAUGCUGAUACAAUUGAAAGGAAUAAAAUAUUUUACAAAUUAAUUAAAUCUCUUCUUUAAAACACAUGCUAAUUGACAUUAAAUUUGCUGUCAAAUAAUACUGAAAGAAAACAAGAAGCAAAACAAGAAAGCAGGAAUAUUUCUUAUAACUGAAAGAUCUUAAAACUUUGGGUUCAAGGAAUUAGAAGGCCUCAUAAUGUGGUUCAUUUAUGUCUGUUACAGAAGUGUAAUGGACAUAAAUUUAGCUUGUUGCAAGAACUAAAAAACAAGCACAUAAUUUCAAUAGAUUCUGU